UACGAAGGGGGCUAGCGUUGCUCGGAAUUACUGGGCGUAAAGGGAGCGUAGGCGGAUAGUUUAGUCAGAGGUGAAAGCCCAGGGCUCAACCUUGGAAUUGCCUUUGAUACUGGCUAUCUUGAGUACGGAAGAGGUAUGUGGAACUCCGAGUGUAGAGGUGAAAUUCGUAGAUAUUCGGAAGAACACCAGUGGCGAAGGCGACUUACUGGACACAUAUUGACGCUGAGGUGCGAAAGCGUGGGGAGCAAACAGG
rnacentral:rRNA from 1 species